rnacentral:rRNA from 1 species
CGCGUAGGCGGUUUGGCAAGUUUGGUGUGAAAUCUUCGGGCUCAACUCGAAGUCUGCAUCGAAAACUGCCGGGCUUGAGUAUGGGAGAGGUGAGUGGAAUUUCCGGUGUAGCGGUGAAAUGCGUAGAUAUCGGAAGGAACACCUGUGGCGAAAGCGGCUCACUGGACCAUUACUGACGCUGAGGCGCGAAAGCUAGGGGAGCAAACAGGAUUAGAUACCCUGGUAGUCCUAGCCCUAAACGAUGAUUGUUUGAUGUGGCAGGUACCCAAUCCUGCCGUGUCGAAGCUAACGCGAUAAACAAUCCGCCUGGGGAGUACGGUCGCAAGGCUGAA